GGGCUCCGUUCCCCGUUAGCGUUUUUCACACGUCCUCUCUCUUUCGUUGUCAAACACCAACUGAAUCAAGAACUGAAAACUUACCAAAAGCCUUUCUCUUCUCAAAGCAAAUGUGUGCGUCAGCAAAUGUGUUUUGAAUUUACUGUGAGAGUGUGUGUGUGUGUGUGUGUGUGUGAGUGUUUGAGUGUGCGUGAAGGUCAUUAUAACAUCUUCCAAACAUUAUUUAAUUAAGUAUUGAUUCAUUAUAGUUCAUUAUGAUUACCCAAAGCAUAAUAAUCAUUCAUUUGAUUAAAACACAUUUAUAAUGAGCAAAAUGAUAAUGGUGAUUAUUUAACAUUUAAAAUGAAGAAAAGGAAGUUUAAGACUUUGUUAUGUUAUGACUACAUUUCAUGAGAACACCAUCUUCUGGCACUGCAGGUGGCAGAUGUUAUGGUUUGCAGCAGACUUGUUGACGGCUCCGGUCAGGGCCGGCUUUGUCAACAGGCGACACAGGCGGCCGCCUGGGGCGCCAUCUGAUGGAUAGGGCGCAAAUUUAAAAAAAAAAAAAAAAAAAAAAAAAAAGUUUAUUAAAUUCAUGUUUGUAAUAUGAAAUGCACUCUCUGCAUACUCAAAAUUCCCCUUUGAAAUGACAUGAAAUUAAAACAUCAAUAUUUAAAUUCUAAUGAUCUGGCUGCAUUUCGAGCUCCCGCCGGCUCCCGCUUGGGCCACCGCUCCGAAGCAUUUGACCGUUAAGGUUGCCAUAGUUACGUGUGUGGGUGGCACUGUGAAGGACAUCCUGUUGUCGUCGCGUUUAAACGUUUGAUAUUUUACGAGGAAAAGAACACCUAAGCCAUCGGGAUCAGCAUUCCGAAAGCGAAGGAAGGAAGAAGAAUAAAAACGGGCGCAAAGCAGAGCGUCUUCAUCCAGGCAUCACGCAGCAGCAGAACAUUUACUGAGCUACAAUCUCAGCAUCUAGAACCAGAAGAAGAACCCAACACCAGCAGACUCAGUGCUCCAAUCCAACAGCCUGAAGAGACACCAUCAUCAGCUUCAGCAGAUGUGUGUGAACAUGCAUGAGCUGCUGGCCCCAUGGAUCCUGCUGACUGGCCACAGAAGUUGAACAAAAUGGAAAGUAGAACUUUCUUUAUGAUGACACUUUGAUAUUUGAGUUUUGCUUUUGAUUGCACAGUUUAAUGUUGCUUUUGAUUUUGCACCCCCCCCCCCCCCCAUGACAUUUGCACAACAUUUUGAGUUGUCGGUUAUUGUAAUAUUCCCAGGUUACUCAUCUUUCAAGCUUACAUUUAUUCUUCAGGCUGUUGACUUUAAAGAGUUGCUGUGUGAAUAUUUAAAAUAAAAAAUUAGUAACAAAGGAAUAACUGUGGAGUUGCUUUUUCCAAUGUGUGGACUUGGGUUUGGG